rnacentral:tRNA from 8 species
AGGGGCGUAGUUCCAACUGGCAGAACAGCGGUCUCCAAAACCGACGGUUGGGGGUUCGAAUCCCUCCGCCCCUGCCA